GCAUGCCAUGCAGCCCCUUGGAUCCUGGCAGAUAUACCCGUGGCACGGGCAGUGAACAAGAGGGACAGCUUGAUGAGGGAUUUCUGUCAGAAGUUAGUGCUUAGCUAAACAAGAUGGUGAUUAACCAUGCUUCAAGCUAUGAUGCAAAAGGUGUUGCAGUUAUAUACUUCCACAUAUAGAGAUGGUGCCAUGCAGCUCCUAAUGAGUGGAACAAGGCGCUACUUCAUGGACUUACAGUUGGAAAAAGAGAUUUUUCACCUGACGAACUUUAUGCUGUUCUUAAUAAGAGAAUUGAGAGAGUCUUAAUCCGGACUGAAUGUGGUUCUUAUCAGCAACGUGUUCUUGCCAAGUUUCUAAAAGGGAUACAAUCUAGAGCAGAGGAAGUUGUUAAAGUGCUUCAAGGACCAACGAUUAACGUCUUGUGGCCCAUUUACAGAUACAGGUUUUGUUCUCGUUGAGCAUAGUCUGCCACCUGGCUGAAAAUUCCAUGAAGUCGUUUGACAAAGAAGCGUGCCUGCAGAUUAUGCCUUUCAGUUCAGGUACACCUGAUCCUGGUUCCUGAUCGCAACGGAUCACAGAAACUGAGCCUCUCUGAAAAAAAGAACAAUCUAGAGCCAGGAGCAGUGCGUGAUUACAGUGUAGCGCGCGUGCUUAUCCUGAAUGGCACGCAUUCUAGCUUCGCUGUUCAGUAUUCACCUUGGAAUAAUGAGGUUUUCUGGGUUUGUCUACUGAAAACUAUAAUGCUACACAGAACAUGUAUGAUCAAAUAUACUCAAA